AAACCGACACAGGUGGUCAGGUAGAGAAUACCAAGGCGCUUGAGAGAACUCGGGUGAAGGAACUAGGCAAAAUGGUGCCGUAACUUCGGGAGAAGGCACGCUGACAUGUAGGUGAAGUGAUUUACUCAUGGAGCUGAAGUCAGUCGAAGAUACCAGCUGGCUGCAACUGUUUAUUAAAAACACAGCACUGUGCAAACACGAAAGUGGACGUAUACGGUGUG
rnacentral:rRNA from 1 species